GACAGAGUAGUUACGGCUGAAGUACGUGCCAUACGCCGUAGGCGUGGCUGGACUGUAGUAGGCUCUGAAACUAGGUAUGUGUAGAGUAAUCCUGCCCCCGCGUACACCGAAGUUGUUCGCUUGCACAUAGCUACCCUACUGGUAUAUCAAAUAUUCGCUAGAGGACUAUGUAACUAACUGAACUCCAACAACUGAAACAUACCAAAACUAAUUGACAUGCAGUUAGAAGCAAAACUGCUGGAGAGAUAACUUUUAAUAUUAAAGUAGUAAUGUUAUUUUAAAACAAAAUUAAAGUUCUUAAUUUACAUAAAAUA